AACGCGAAGAACCUUACCUGGGCUCGAAAUGUAGUGGAAUCCGGCAGAAACGUCGGCGUCUAGCAAUAGACCGCUAUAUAGGUGCUGCAUGGCUGUCGUCAGCUCGUGUCGUGAGAUGUUGGGUUAAGUCCCGCAACGAGCGCAACCCCCGUCGCAUGUUGCCAGCAUUUAGUUGGGGACUCAUGCGAGACUGCCGGUGACAAACCGGAGGAAGGUGGGGAUGACGUCAAGUCCUCAUGCCCCUUAUGUCCAGGGCUACACACGUGCUACAUUGGCGCAUACAGAGGGUUGCGAUACCGCGAGGUGGAGCGAAUCCCUUAAAGUGCGUCUCGGUUCGGAUUGCAGGCUGAAAUUCGCCUGCAUGAAGGCGGAGUUGCUAGUAAUCGCGGAUCAGCACUGCCGCGGUGAAUACGUUCCCGGGCCUUGUACACACCGUAGAGAC
rnacentral:rRNA from 1 species